GUGUCCCAGCAACAGCCCAUGUGCCCAUUGAGUUGGGCAAGGAGAACGUAGCUGAGAAGAGCUGUCCUGAAGAACUGGAGCCUGAACAACCUUCCAAGAGUUUAGAAGCUGUCUGGCUCCUGAGUCUCAGCUCCCCACUCCCAAAGGCAAAUGCUGGAGGCCUUACAUUAUCAGCCAACUUUGUUCUUUUCAUGCUCUUAACUGGAGGGGUGAGGGGAGAAUUGGGCAGCAAAGUGGUCCAGGGACCACUAACUGUUUGCUAGAGGGGCAGAAAGAGCUAAGUGGCUGCAGCUGCUCUAGUGUUCACAAGAUGAGACAGUGAGGGUGGGAGAAGAGUUACUGGGAGCAAAACACACAACAGGGAAACCACUAGUUUUUUUAAGUUGCUCUGGAGAUUGGUAGGGAGCAGCAAAGCAGAGGAAGUCUGGCGGCAGAAUUGAUUUGGGAGGUCAGGAGUUUUGGUUGAUUGAGUUUGGGAAUCCAAACCCUAGAGGUCCCACUGGUGGGGGCAUAAAAGGUUGGACAAAAAGAGAAAGAAGGUUCUAUUCAGCAAACAAAAGGUGGAGUUGAUGGAAAGGCAAAUGGCAUUUGAAAAGUCAUGGAAAAAGGAGCCUUAAGGAUAUUUUGACAGCAUAUAAUUAACUGUAAAGGAUUUCAGAGGGCCAUCUCUACAGAUCGUAAAUGCUCUAGGUUCCAAGAUUUUUGUUUCUUGAACUAAAAUUUCUCACACAGCGUAUGUUGCAAGUGGUUUUUAAACAAUUUUCCUCCUCCUGUUAGGAAAAUGACAAUGGUGACAUCUACUGUUCAAAGAAAAAGAGCUACUUAAGUGCUAACACCAAAUGACUUAUCCUUUGUACUUGUUAAGUUAUUAACAAUUGUAUGCUCUAUAACAAUCUGCAAACAAACAUGGCAUAG